rnacentral:rRNA from 1 species
AACGAACGCUGGCGGCAUGCCUAACACAUGCAAGUCGAACGAGACCUUCGGGUCUAGUGGCGCACGCGUGCGUAACGCGGGGGAACCUGCCUUUAGGUUCGCCAGAACUCCCCGAAUGGGGUGCGAAUACCGGAGCUAGUCUUCCGUCCAAAGAUUGAUCGCCUUUGGGUGGGCCGGCGUUCGAUUAGCUAGCGGGUAGGGUAAAAGCCUCUCAAGGCGACGUUCCAUAGCUGGUUUGAGAGGAUGAUCAGCCACACUGGGACUGAGACACGGUCGAGACUCUUACGCGAGGCAGCAGUGGGUGAUAUUGGAAAGUGGGCUAAAGCCUGAACCAGCAAUGCCGCGUGAGUGAUGAAGGCCGUGGGGUUGUAAAGCUCGUUUAUCCGGGAUGAUAAUGACAGUACCGGGAGAAUAAGCUCCGGCUAACUCCGUG